UGAAGAGCACAUGUAUUGGAUGACUAGACAAUCACCAAAUUCGCUUGUAGUUGGUACUGGUAUCUUUCUGAGUUUUGAGAGCAAAAGGAAGAAAGGAGUUAUACUUCAAAGUUCAAACACACUGGAAAGUCACCUUGCCUGAAGGUAAAAAAAAAAAUACUUUUAUCAGUUGUGGAUCCGAUUGGAAAACUUUGGGUACGGAUGUGAACAUGUCUGAUCAAGCCACUUUUUCAUUCCAUUCAGAGGAGUAAUAAUUUAUCCCUGACAUAGCUAGGUGGGAUAGUAGUAGUCAAGUGGAUGAAGGGUAUACCAACUCUAUAAUAUAACAAGAGAUAAUCAACAUGUAUUUGUCUACUUCUGGGAUCACCACUCAGCCCAUCAAUCUCCCUUGAUAAUUUUUGCUGGUAGUGGUUUUCCAGGUUUUCAAUACAAUUCAGAAAUAAAUAACUA